rnacentral:rRNA from 1 species
UGAGGAAUUUUGCGCAAUGGGGGAAACCCUGACGCAGCAACGCCGCGUGAGUGAAGAAGGCCCUUGGGUCGUAAAGCUCUGUCAACAGGGAAGAAAUUAUUUUGUAUUAAUAGUAUGUAGCAUUGACGGUACCAGUGGAGGAAGCACCGGCUAACUCCGUGCCAGCAGCCGCGGUAACACGGGGGGUGCAAGCGUUAUUCGGAAUUAUUGGGCGUAAAGGGCGCGUAGGCGGUUUUGUCGGUCAGAUGUGAAAGCCCGGGGCUCAACCCUGGAAGUGCAUUUGAAACAGCAAGACUUGAGUACGGGAGGGGAAAGCGGAAUUCCUGGUGUAGAGGUGAAAUUCGUAGAUAUCAGGAGGAACACCGAUGGCGAAGGCAGCUUUCUGGACCGAUAUUGACGCUGAGGCGCGAAGGCGUGGGUAGCAAACAGGAUUAGAUACCCCGGUAGUCCACGCAGUAAACGAUGUUCACUAGGUGUAGCGGAUAUUAAAAUCUGCUGCUGCCGCAGCUAACGCUAGUAAGUGAACCGC